UUUAUGUCUAAUUUUAAGGGUCUAAUAUUUUAAGAUUUGUCUACACAAAAAUCAGGACCAAAAUAACUAAAUUAGUUUUAAUUCACAUCUUUUCAUUAUAUUGGCGCAAGUCUGUGUUGACAUGCUUAUUUUCAGUUGACUAUCCUAUUUUGAUGAUAAACUCAAAUCAGUAAAAAAUUAACUUUGCAUCAGAAUAGCAGGAUUGUAAACUUUUUGCAGCAAGGGCUGUCUUGUUCUGCAUUGUACACAAUGGAGUUUGGCCCUUGACUGGGAUUUUUAGUGCUACUGUAACACCGAAAGACCCUGGUCAUUGGCGGGCAGGAUCGAACUCGGGACUUUAGGGCAUGGAGCUUAGUGCAUGAGCCUCUAGUACAUGAGCUAAAAACCAACUGGCUGUUAGCUAAGGCUGUAGAGCAGACUCAUUUUAUCUCUCGCUCUAAGUGGUCUCGGUGCCCCUAGCUGGGACAGAUUACCACACCCAGAAGUUGUGUGGGUUAUACUAUCACAAUACAAAUAAUUAAUAAAACCCAAUUUAGUUAUUUUAGUUUCACUUUGUGUGUAGACAAGCCCUUAAUUACAGAAGAAACUGACUGCUCUAAUUGAAUGUGGCUUUUUCAUUCUAAUUCAUUUUCAGUGGCUUAUAUUCAAUAAAUAUUUUUUAGCUAAAAACGCAUUCUGCUUCUAAACCCCAAAGUGAUUAUUUUGUGGGGGGGGAGAACGGGGAAGGUGAGGUUAAAAUGUUUUUUUCUAAGCAUGAAAAAACGUUGUUUAAUAAAAUGGAGGGGUUUUGCAGUGAGAACUUGGACAGUGGAAUUUAAAAUGUUUAAUUUGGCAUAUAAAUUACUAAUCAGGAAUUUGUGCUUUGCUAAGUUUGAAAAAUAGGAAACAGUGUAUAGCACACUCUUACUAAUUUAAGUGUGCGUUCUGACAGAUAUGCCAUAUCCUUGGGAGACCUUACUGAAUUACGUUUAGGUAUGUUGGGGUCCAUUGUAUUAAAUGCAAAUGUAUUAUUGUGGGCUGGGAUUGCAUGUAAGCUCUCUAGGGGGAAAAGUGCGAUGUGAGGCUUGGGAUUUCAAAGAACUAUACUGAAAAUGUGCCAGACAGAAAUGAACUAUGGGAUAAAUGUAAAGUGGAUUUCCUGGAGAAUACCUAAAGCAGGCUAGUGCAAAUUCCUUACCUCUGGUUAUGCACAAACCUAUCCUUUUGUGAAGCUAUAAGCUGAGGAGAGGGUCACUGUCUGCUGAUUACCUGUUUCUGGAAACUGGAGAUCAAAGGUCUUAACAGUAUAAAGAAACGUCUGAACUGCCCACCUGAAUCUGAGGCAGUUUGAACUUGUAACAACAGGGAGAACCUAGUUGUGGGUUUUGAAGGACUGACAUCUACCAGAGCUAUAAGUUGGAGUGGGGGGUGACCUCUGGUAAACUUUUUAGCAUGCAUGUAGGGGGUUUUGUUUGUUUGUUUAUUUUGUGUUUUCUCUGUAGUGCUUUCACCUUGAGUGUGCUUGCUUAGAAAGAGCUGUGUGCUAAGUUAUAAUUGCGGGCAAUACACUGGGCAUAGCCUCUGGAGAGAAAGCAAAGCACAGAUGCUAGCCUUUUACGCAGUCUGGCUUCCUGGGGAUAUCAUAGUUUAGGCAGGGAACUGCUGCUUUAAAGGAGUCCUGGUCAAAGAGUGAGACGCAGCUCUCUGCCCAAGAGACAUGAUUGCUAGGAGCUGGAAACCUUUAAGUGGGUGCAAGGCCAGCACUUGCAUUUAGGCGGCUUAGGCAAUCGCCUAGGGCGCCAGCAUUAUUAGGGGGCGGCAUUUUGCCGGAGGGGGCGGCAGGCGGCUCUGGUGGAGCUGCCGCAAUGGUGCCUGCGGAGGGUCCACUGGUCCGCGGCUCCGGUGGAGCUGCCGCAGUCGUGCCUGCGGACCGUCGGCUGCUUGCGCGGCUGCAGUGGACCUCCAGAGCCGCGGGCACCUGAACGUCCGCAGGCAGGACUGCGGAGCCGGGGGACCAGCGUGCGGGGCGGCGAAAUGCCGGUCCUGAGUGGAAGAUUUCAGAUGCUCUAUGCUGAGGCACAUCAGGCUUUCAUUCCUGUUUCCCUUGCCUUUUCAGAAAUUCACUUAAGGGGCCAAAGAUUGGCUAGUAGUUACCUUUAUCUUAUGUCAUAAUGCUACAAAAUUCCCACAUCUUUAAACUAGUCUUCUGCAAGCAACUAAAUACCUCAACUUUGCUAUAGACUAGGACUCUGCUAAGAGAACACUUACAACUUCUGUACACUUACAGCGCUUAAUGAAGAUGCUUUUUCCACUGAUGAGAGAGUUUCUCCCAAUUGUUUAGGUACUUCACCUCUUCGAGAGGCGGUAGCUAUGUCAGCUGGAGAAGCCCUCUUGUUGACAUAGCGCUGUCUACACCGAGAGUUCAUUCGGAAUAACUGUAUCACUCAGGGGUGUGGAUUUUCCACACCCCUGAGUGACAUAGUUAUACUGACAUAAAUUUGUAAAGUAGACCAGAGCUCAGUCUGUCAUUCUGCUGGAGACCCUGAAUGCCAUUUGACUGCAAAAUCAAAUAGGGCAUGCUGGCACUACCACUUUCAUUUCAUCCUAUUUUAUUUCCUUUUAUAUUACAAGAAACUAGAUUCAACAUGAUAGUUAAGAUUUAAGAAGCACAAAAAUCAAGAAAUUUAAAGUUAUGCUGCUAUAGCAUCCCAUUAUCCUUCCAGCAUGACUGACUACACAGAACCUGGUUCAGUGAUGAGCUCUGACAGAUAAAACAGGAUUGUGGAUGUUAGAAGGCCUCAGUCCAAUCAGCCUGACAGCUGCAUGCACAGUCUGUAGAAUCCUAUGCCACUGUAGGAGUCUAUUUGCAACAGUGAUCUAAAAUCCUAUUUUUCCACUGGUGUGUGCCUAGAAAACUACUUUGCUACAGGAUGAGGAUAUAACCACAGUGGUUCACAUCUUGGAGGUAACAAAGCUGUAAUGGUAUACAUGGUAUUAACCAUGUAUUGCCUAGCUAGUUGAGUGUCCAGUUCAAGGCUCUGGUCCUCAUCUACAAAGUCUAAAUCAUCUGGGGCCUGUUACCUCAGCAGUUGUUUCCAAACAGCCCAGGUUGGUGGCUGUGUCCAUAAUACUGUAUAUAACAGAUCAGGGUACAUCUUGCAGAAAUAGGUGUCAUAGGUAUCUUGGUAGAGGGUCCAUGGCUGUGAAACAGUCUUACACUGAAGUUUAUGCAAAACAGGGCUUGUGUGGGUAGACAUGACCGACAUUUAACUCCAUUCAGUCUGAGUCUUUGAAAGAGGCUGUGUAGGGGGAAGGCUGUGCUCUCAUCAGUUGAAAGUAUUUUCUAAUACAUUUUUGUAAGAACCCCAGUACUACUCUGAUUUAGAAAUUUUGCAAAAUAAUGACUAAAGCACUAUAUACAACCAUAGAAUAGGGUCAGUUGCUAUAGUAUUACAGAUUUCCAAUUUGUGCAUUUAAAAAUCUCAAGUAUGUUGCAUUUCUAACAGCUCAGAAUUGAUAACUUUCAUGAAGAUAACCAAAUGUUAACACAUUAGAUAACUUUUAAUAAUGUUUAUCUUGCAUUCCUUGAGCUGUGCAUCAAAAGAAUACUCUCUCAUCACCCAGUUUUAAGAUACUGGUAAGAAAAAUACUAUAUACCAUAUGAUUUAAGGUCUAUUCUUGCCCAAUAGUGUAUUGAACCUGCAUCUUUAAGUAGGAAGUAGUGUUUCUCCUGCUAUAAAAUGAUCUGAUCUUUCUUUGAAAACUGAUAGUUACUGUACCUCACUAGAAAAACUAUUUCACUGGCUGAUCAUGAUAAUUCCUUGAUACACAGUAUUAAAGUUUAUUUUUCUCACCUUAGUUUACUACUCCUUAAUUCUCUAAUAAUUGGGAAUUUUGAUUUUUCUAAUUUAAAAAUGUAUCAAUUGCAUUAUUACUCUUGCUAUGUUGUACAUUUCAAGCAUUUUUAUUUCUUUACAACUGCCAUUUAAAAAAAUCUUUAGUUGUAUCAAGUGGCUGGAUGGAAAAAAUAAAAAUUGUAGCUAAAGAAUGA